rnacentral:rRNA from 1 species
UACGGGGGGGGCAAGCGUUGUUCGGAAUUACUGGGCGUAAAGGGCUCGUAGGCGGCCAACUAAGUCAGACGUGAAAUCCCUCGGCUUAACCGGGGAACUGCGUCUGAUACUGGAUGGCUUGAGUUUGGGAGAGGGAUGCGGAAUUCCAGGUGUAGCGGUGAAAUGCGCAGAUAUCGGGAGGAACACCAAUGGCGAAGGCAGCUCGCUGGGACGGUACUGACGCUGAGACGCGACGGCGUGGGGAGCAAACCGG